UUCUCUCCCAAAAGUGUCUCUGGCUGAAUCUUUCCUUCUUCAUUGGUUCCAAUUGCAAGCUGAUUUUUUUUAUUUCUUCUUGAUUUUCAUCCUAAAUUCAUCCUUGAUUCAAUUCCAUUCAAUUGCCAUCCAAUUGCCAUCCAUUCCUUAGGUGUUGAUUUUGAGUGUUAUUGGCUAUCUUGAUCAAGUGGAAGUAGUGUGAUUGAGUUAGGGGGUUUAGAUCGCGUAAUCAGUAAGGUUCCUAAUUCGUGUGUGAUUGAGGAAAAUGGUGCUUCAAUUGUGGAUAGUCGUUUGAUUAGCAUUUGAGGGUGGAAUCAGUUAGUUACGUUAUCGAGUGACUUGAAAGUGAAAGGCAAAGCACCAGAGCAAAAGGAUAUAAUAGAAAAGGAUCAGUAGUGAGUCAGAGGUUCAGAUUAGUAAAAAUACGUGAGGUAGGAGCCUCUUGAGCAUCUUUUUGGAAACACCACCUACCAAAAAUAUCAGUAAGGCAUCUCUGAUGUUCUUUUAACUUUUACUGACAUGUAUAUUAUACUGUCUGUUUGCUUUAUCGAAUUUAUUUAGAAUGGUCUAUAAUAGUAAAUUCUAGUUUGGUUAGUGUUAGUUAUAUUCGAAUCUAUGGAUGAAUAAUAUAUAUGAUAUUAUAUUUAAAAUGGUUUUUAAAAUU